GUCUAAAAAACACAUCCAUUAAAACAAGGAUGGAAAC
rnacentral:other from 1 species